rnacentral:lncRNA from 1 species
AUAGACCUGUUGUGCAAAUGUCACGCACACAGUGUGCGACAGCUGCCUGUGAUGUAACAUGCGCGGACGGGUCCUCCCUGCGCGCGAUAAGACGCAUGUGCAGGUUUACCCUCUACGUUGCACGCAAUGGGACCUGUGCACUGUGCACACGUCCUACGCUUGUCACGCGUGCACGGGCGCUCGCGCGGGCAGCCCAUCCCUG